rnacentral:misc_RNA from 1 species
UACGGAGGAUCCAAGCGUUAUCCGGAAUCAUUGGGCGUAAAGAGCUCGUAGGCGGUUCAGCAAGUCGGCUGUGAAAGUCCGUGGCUCAACCUCGGAAUUGCAGUCGAUACUGCUGUGACUCGAGUCCGGUAGAGGAGAAUGGAAUUCUCGGUGUAGCGGUGAAAUGCGCAGAUAUCGAGAGGAACACCAGUAGCGAAGGCGGUUCUCUGGGCCGGCACUGACGCUGAGGAGCGAAAGCCAGGGUAGCGAACGGG